GACCCUACGGACUUCGGUGGGGUUUGGGCACGGUGCCUUCUCAACGAGCAGGUGUGCGCCUGCAGCCAGGGGGCGCCAGAACACCAAUUUCACACACAAUGUCAUGUUCUUUUUUUACUGCUCGUCUCGCCCCCCAUGUGAUUUGGCGCCCCCCACAAAUAUGGCGCUCCGGGCGGCUGCCCGGUUCGCCCGUGCCUAAAACCGCCACUGGCGUCCUGGCAUGGAGGGGAUACCUGGAGGUACCUCCUCCGAGAGUCCGGGGCCAUCUCCGUCCACUGUCAACCCACUGGUUGAAUAUCAAGACGGAGUAUUGCUUUUAAUCGAGCCGGCUACGAAUGAACAUCCUCCAGUUUCUGUAAGUCCGGAGGCCGAUGAAAAUAUUGCCAUGGAUGGGGCUGAAAGAACUGAGACUGUGGUCGAGGAAGCGGCGGGUACAUCAGGGUCGUAAUAUAAGCAUUUGACGACUAAAGAAUUAUAUCGACUUCAUCUUCAGCGGGAAAUCGCUAAGGCUGAUUUGCAAAUGGAGUACACGAAGCUGCUGAUAGAGCAACUAAAGAAUAAAAAUGAUGGAU